rnacentral:misc_RNA from 1 species
AAAAUGUUUAGCACUAGACUAAAUCCUGGAAAAAUAAUAUUUUCAAGUUUCUGCAGAAACAUUGAACUCAACUUGAGAGAAAAUAAAGAUUUUUAUUAGCAAGUAUUAUUUAAUUGUAAAUUUGUAAUCAGAGAUCUUAUCUGUUUGACAGUUCUCUGAAAAAAGAUUCUUGACCAUAGCUUCUUGCUCUGUGUUGUUUUCCCUAAUUCCAAGUCUCAGAUUUUCCUCUAUUUCCUUCAUUUCUCUGACAUUGUAUUUUCUGCUACUGAUGUUUUGGAAGUAGAAUCAAAGGUUCAGGUGUGGGUUAGGUUAAGGGUUUGAGGCUUUGAGUUCAAGAUGGAUUGUCUGGGAAGUUAGAAUUGAGUUUAGCUUGUAUUUGUUUGGAUGCCUAGAACUGAAGAGAAACAGAGUGAAAAUAGAAGAAACAAGAAGGAAUAGAGAGAGAGUCCACAGAAUUCACUCCAUUAUUGGUCCCUUCCCUCUGUUAAUGGCAAGGUUUAUUCUGUUACAAUGUUCCUUGCCAUGUCAGCUUGCCAUUUACAGAUGGAAGGGAAAAUAUAAACAAGUAAACAUCAUGGUACCAUUUUGAUAAGAAAAAAAAUAUAUAUAUAUUCCUUAAGUUUCAAUGCGUG